rnacentral:lncRNA from 1 species
CAGGGACACUAAGCUGGAAUAGCUGACAGCACCAUAGAAGCAUAUAGCUGUAAUUUGUUUCUUGAUAGUGCCUAACCCCAACAUUUCACCAGGACUUGUCUUGAGCAUUCUACAUACUGUGGCAACAAACUAGAGGAGCAGCCUUGUGGCUUCUUAAGUGUAGAAGGGGACAAUGCAGACAGGCACCAGGUUCUAGAACUUAUGCUGCCAGAAGAGUGUUCCUAAUGGGAAAUCUAACUGGGCCUCCCACUGACAGAGAAG